rnacentral:rRNA from 1 species
AUUGAACGCUGGCGGCAGGCCUAACACAUGCAAGUCGAGCGGAGCGGCGGACGGGUGAGUACUACCUAGGACUCUGCCUGGUUGUGGGUGAUACCGUUCGGCAACGGACGCUACUACCGGCUACUAUCAGUUGAGCAUAGGUCGGAUGAGCUAGUUGGUGAGGUAAUGGCUCACCAAGGCUACGAUUCGUAACUGGUCGGAGAGUAUGAUCAGUCACACUGGAACGGAGACACGGUCCAGACUCCUACGGGAGGCAGCAGUGGGGAAUAUUGGACAAUGGGCGAAAGCCUGAUCCAGCCAUGCCGCGUGUGUGAAGAAGGUCUUCGGAUUGUAAAACACUUUAAGUUGGGAGGCGUUACCGACAGAAUAAGCACCGGCUAACUCUGUGCCAGCCGCCGCGGUAAUAC